UACGUAGGGGGCAAGCGUUGUCCGGAAUUAUUGGGCGUAAAGAGCGCGUAGGCGGUCCGGUAAGUCGGUUGUGAAAGUCGGGGGCUCAACCCUCGGAUGCCGAUCGAUACUGUCGGGCUAGAGUCCGGAAGAGGCGAGUGGAAUUCCUGGUGUAGCGGUGAAAUGCGUAGAUAUCGAGAGGAACACCUGCGGCGAAGGCGGGUUGCUGGGCUGACACUGACGCUGAAGCGCGAAAGCUAGGGGAGCGAACGGG
rnacentral:rRNA from 1 species